rnacentral:rRNA from 1 species
CGAGAAUAAUCCACAAUGGGCGAAAGCCUGAUGGUGCAACGCCGCGUGGAGGAUGAAGGUCUUCGGAUUGUAAACUCCUGUCAUUGGGGAGUAAGACCUGGCGGUGAAUAGCCGACAGGGUUGAUAGUACCCAAAGAGGAAGGGACGGCUAACUUCGUGCCAGCAGCCGCGGUAAUACGAAGGUCCCGAGCGUUGUUCGGAAUCACUGGGCGUAAAGGGAGCGUAGGCGGCGUGGUAAGUCAGAUGUGAAAUCCCGGGGCUCAACCCCGGAACUGCAUCCGAUACUGCCGUGCUUGAGGGUUGGAGAGGUGACUGGAAUUAUCGGUGUAGCAGUGAAAUGCGUGGAUAUCGAUAGGAACACUCGUGGCGAAGGCGAGUCACUGGACAACAUCUGACGCUGAGGCUCGAAGGCUAGGGGAGCAAA